AACCGCAGCCGCGGUUCCCGCCCGCGCCUCUCCCUCCACACCUCCCCGCAAGCAGAGGGAGCCGGCUCCGGCCUUGGCCAGCCCAGAGACAGGCUCCCACAGUGCAGCGGCGGGCUGAAGGGCUCCUCAAGCACUGCCAGAGUGGACACCGAGGCCGAGGAGACGCCAAGAGCGAAAAUUUUUGUUUUCCAUGACUGCAAGAAAUACUGCUGAACAAGACAUUUCUUCAUCAUCCUUGAUGAAAGAUGAACAUUAAUAAUGCAGAUAGAAAUCAGGCCAAGUAAUGUUGAAGAGAAAACAAGGUCCAGUAGCACUACUUCCUUUUAGAAGAUAAGAAUAAACAGAUUUAAAAUGGCAAGCUCAAUAAUUUUACCCUAACAAAAAAUGAGAUUCUAAUAUAUAUUCUUCUAUUAUGAACCUCUCGAUGUUUCACUUCUAAGUAUGCAUUCCUUUCAACGGUGAAAGACUUCUAAAGUAGCGUGUAGAAAAUAUUUCUUUCUUCAGAAAAAUUACAGUGAAACAAGCUUCUGGUUCAAGAGUUUCUUCAGGUUCCACUACGGGCUGUUCUUCUACAGGUGCGCCGAUGUCCACAGUGCUACCUUCUGAUGAGCUACUGCUUUCAUUCAGUUUCUGCUGACUUAAUAUGUGAGCUGACAGAAUGCAGAGACCACGUUGUAUAUGAAGCAUCCACUUUGCCUUGUACACCAGGGCAUUCAAUAACCACUUAAUAACUACAACCCUGAUGAUCCGAUUCACUACUAAAGUCUUCCGUGUUUAAAUUUUCAAAGUCAGAUUCUCCUACAGCAAUUGAAGAAUAGAGACCUCACAUCCUCAACAGAGUUUGAGAAGCACUGCUCCAAGUCUCACCUCUGCCUGCAUUCCCUCUAUCAUCUUUGAAGGAGUAUGAGUCCAGAAAACAGAUAGAGCUUUACCACAAAGCGCAUUUGAAGGAAGGGAGAAUUUCACCUGUGCUUACUAGAAGAACAAUCCCCUAUGCCAACAAUACUUAGCCCUCUUUUUCUCUGAUUCAUUGAGGGAUUCUGUCCCUGAAUGACAUUGUGAGAUCAUCGUAAAUCUGAACAGACUUGUGCAAUGCAAAUGCCUUUGCUGUGGGGGAAUAUGAGCAUGUAACGACACAGAAAGGCCCAAAGUGAGCUAGCUCAGGAAUAAAUAUGGUCCACCUUUCAAAUGUACUGCAUAUACUUCCUUUCCCCCCAGAUAUGCUGAGUAAAAUCUGAAAGAAAUAUUAGGGGCUCAGAUGGCCAGUCGCAGUGGCUCACGUCUGUAAUCCCAGCACUUUGGGAGGCCAAAGUGGGCACAUCACCUGAGGUCAGAAGUUUGAGACCAGCCUGGCCAACAUGGUGAAACCCCAUCUCUACUAAAAACACACAAAAAAAUUAGCUGGGCCUGGUGGUGGGUCCCUGUAAUCCCAGUUGCUUGGGAGGCUGAGGCAGGAGAACAGGAGAAUCGCUUGAACCCAGGAGGCGGAGGUUGCAGUGAGCCAAGAUCGCGCCACUGCACUCCAGCCUGGGUGAUGAGAGCAAAACUCCAUCUGAAAAAAAGAAAAAGAAAUAUUAGGGGCACAGGUAGGAGAACCAGUAAAAAUAUAACACAGAAUAUAUAUAUUUUAAAAUAAGAAUCUCUUGAUUUCAGAUAAUAUUAAAAGCUAAUUUUGAAACAAAUAGUAGUGAUACAAAGAGAUAAUGAGAAAGAAAUGACAAUCCAUAGAUGGCCUAAAUCAUGGGCUGGAGUGUGAGGAUAAUCAAGAUGGUACUGUUUGUACCUCCGUGGAUAAGGAAAAUAACCAGGCUCAUCCUAAGGAGACAGGACCAUACUUAGAAGAGAACACCUGUGAUGCUGGCUCCUUGGCCACUGUUCAGCCCAAACCAUGACCAGAGGUAAUAAAUGACCAAAACAGAAAAGACAGACAAGGAGUGGUAAAGUAAAAGGCAAAGCUAGAGAUCUAAAAGAAGGGAGGGGAAAUAUUUCUGCCCUGAGUACUAAAAAGUAAAAGAGGCAAGAUUCAGAAACCAAACACAAAAGGUUCCAAAAAGGAAGUCUGCCUAGAAGUAAAAAGAGCAGAGGAUUCUAGACAAAAAUCGGGGAAAGGUGGGGACAGAGAGAAAUCUGUUAAAGGACACAAAAUUACAACUAGAUAGGAGGAACACAUUCUAGCUCUCCACACCACUGUAGGAUGACUACAGUUAAAAAUAAUUUAUUAUAUAGUUUCAAAUAGCUGGAAGGAAGAUAUUGAAUGUUCCCAACACAAAAAAUGAUAAAUGUUUGAGAUGACGGAUAUGCUAAUUAUUCUGAUCUGAUCACUAUACAUCAUAUGUAUUAAAACCACUAUAUGCUUCAUAAAUAUGUACAAUUAUUACGUGUCAAUUUAAAAAAUAAGAUAAAAGGAGGUAUAAAGGGCUGAAACUAAGUAAGAUGAGUUUAAUGAAACCAAAGCACUCUCAAUGUUGGUAUGUGAUUCUAAAUCUAAAAGUCCUUUGACAUAGAGAAAAUUAAUACUUUGACACAAAAGUUAAAAACAAAUGGGCAUAAUUAUCAAUUGUUCAAGCCUUAGAUGAAAACAUUUACUGAUUUUACAGUGUAUUCCCUUUAUUCAUUUUAAAAAUUUAAAGAAUGUGUAGAAGAUUAUUUGGUAACAAGAUUUAUAUGUGCAAUGGAAAAUACUUGCAAGUUGAAUUUAUAAAUGGAAUUGGUAAGGUUUUUACUGAACAACGGUAUUUGUUUUGCUUUAAUUUUUCAUAAGACAUACUGUUGUGCAAGACAUCCUUGCUACCCAGGAAGCUAACAAUAAGGCCAACAUUAAAGGACCAUUUUUUCAUAGGAUUUCUUCUGUGAGAACUCCAUUUUUCUCAGAUUGAAACAUACAUGCUUAUGUACAAACUUCAUAGAUGUAGCUUUAAGGUAUUGAUGGAUUUUAAACAGCCUUCCAAUAAAGCAACAGUACCCAGACUUGUAUAGCAACCCAAUAUGUAUAAUUUUAAAUAUGAUAGCACUUUCAUGUCAGAGUAAGUUCCAUUUAGAAUGUCAGUCUUAUUAUAUGUAAUUGAUCUUAUGUUUGUUUAUUUCCUCAACUGUCUGUAUCUUACCUCCUUGUAAUUGCUUACAUAGCCAAGAAGCCGAUCAUUCAGUUUAUAAGUGUUAAGAAUUAAUAAAAGGAUACUUGUUUCCAAGGACUCUCAGAUACAGCUUUCUCCCAAAAGUGGCAUUGAUGAUAUUGAAGGGAGGGAAGAGUCUGAAGGAAAUACUGUUUGCUUACAACAAAUACUUAAGUAGCUCUAGAGUUUUCAAAUAUAUAAAUAUUUGCCUUCCCCGCUAUACGUAUAAGAAAGGGCUCCAAGAGGGAAGAGUUCAAAGACUAGCUAAGAUAUUGCUGUACCUUAAACUGUAUAAACAAAUAUUGUGUAGCUUUAAGCUAAUCAAGAUUUAUGAACUAUUAAAUUGGGUGACUUU
ensembl:lncRNA SCN1A-AS1 SCN1A and SCN9A antisense RNA 1